CUACAACUAUCAACUAACUGGCUAAAAUUAUUUGUUUUUUGUUCUUAUAAAUAUGCCUCAUCCCUUUGCUCUUUUCUUUCAUAUCUCUUUUUGGGGUUUCAUUUUAGGCCGCCCAUCUAAUGCUUCCCCCGCCGGCACCGGAGAAUCUGUUAAGCUCAGGAGGGAUAGCGCCACCGAAUAUAAAGAAAGAUUACCGGAAUAUUCCUUCUCGUCGCCCUGCUUUCCGGCGCUAUCUAUCCUGAGUUUCAUGGCUUCUUCUUGCUUUUUCCAAAUAUAUAUUUCCCUUUUCUCCUUCGUCGUUUCUCCUAUCCCAGAUCGAGCUAUUCAAAAUGGGAUAAUCCCAACUUUUGGAGGGUUUUACAAGGCAAUCUAAGGUCGAGGAGCUUGGGACAGGUUUAUUGGCCCAUUCUUUCUUAUGGGGUUGGUCUCAUAUGCGACCUUUAACUCAUCCUUAUGGGAUGUUUACCAGCAUGUAUGGAGUUUUUACUAGAGAUACAUCGAAGGAAUCAAAUUUCUUAGUAUUUUCUCAAUGUAGUUUGAUUGAGGCAAGGAUAUAUAAACCGUUUUCAUUUUUCCUGAUUUUAACACCAAGAAUUAUGUCUGCUUCUCCUAGGCCUUUCAUAUCAAAGUGUGACGAUAGGAACAACUUGGUAUCUUUUAUUAACUCUAUGUUCGUCCCAAAGAUCAACAUGUCAUCAACAUAUAAACAUAUUAAUAUGCACUCAACUGCAGACAUCUUUGAAUAAGUACAUGUAUCUAAGGAAUUUACCUUAAAUCUAUUGUUUAUCAAAGUAUCAUUAAAUUUUUCAUACCAUUGUUUAGGAGUCUGCUUAAGACCAUAGAGAGAUUUUUUAAGUUUGCAUACUUUGUUUUCUUAGCCAAGAAAUUUGAAUCCUUCUGGUUGAGUCAUAUAGAAAGACAAUUUUUACAUCCAUUUGGUGAAUAAGAAGGUUGUAUAUGGCAGCUAGCGCAAUUAAGGCUCUAAUAGUAGUUAUCUUAGUUACAAGGGAAUAUGUAUCAAAGUAAUCAAUACCUUGCACUUUUGAAUAUACCCUACCACUACUAAUCUUGCCUUCUAUUUUUCUAUUGACCCAUAUGGUCUUGUUUUUCUUUUGAAUAUCCAUUUACACUUAAUUGGUUUACUUUUUUUUAGGAAGAUCUACUAAUUUCCAUGUUUGAUUCAUGGUUAGUGAAUCCAAUUCACUCUUAAUAGUCUCCUUCCAUAUACUGAACUCUACAUAACUUAAGGCCCUUUGGUAAGUUUUAAGAUCUUCAUCUAUUAAAAACAAGCUAGUGAAAUUCCAUUCAAUUUCUUUGCUCAUUUUUACUAUAAAGGUGCUUAGGAAAUCUAGUCCAAAACAUUUCUUAGUUCUCUAUCUUUUACUUCUUCUAGGUUCUAAUUCAUACCUUAUGUUAGAAGCAUCAAACUCAGGUGUUUCACUAACAACUGUUGGAUUUUGUAGAUCAUGCAUAUUUCUAGAUAGGCAGGGAGCAGACAGAGAUCUCUUUAAAGGAAAUACAUGCUCAAAAAAUUCAGCAUCCAUAGAUUCAUUUAUGCUACUAUCAUUUAAACACAUAAACCUAUAUGCAACACUAUUUUGAGCAUAACUGAUAAAUAUAUAGUUAAAGGUUUUAAACCCUACUGUGGAUUUAUUCAGUACAGGAAAUGGUACCUAAGCCAAGCAUCCCCACACUUUCAAGUAGUUGAGAUUUGGUGUGUAUCCUUCCAGAAUUCGUAGGGAGUUUUGUCCAGUUUUCUAUGGAGAACCCUGUUAAGAAUAAAAUAUGCAGACAACACAGCUUCCCUUCACAUAUUGUCAAAGAGACCAUAGCUUAAUAACAUAACAUUCAUCAUUUCUUUAAGAAUUCUAUUUUUACGUUAUGCUAUGCCAUUUUGGUGUGGUAAGGAGCAGUGAACUCAUGAAUAAUGUCAUUUGAUUCACAAUA